CCGCCUCAUAAAAGAUAAGUUCAACUACUUUCUUACAUAUUAAUUAAGCUUGAUUGACAUACUCGCUUAUAUCGAAAGCUUUUAUCUUUGUUUCUCUCUUUCUAACGCAAAGUAGAGGCCUCCUCUAACUCGCAACAUCUCAAAUGUAGAUUUCCAUACAACGACAUUUACAAUCUCGAAGAUUUAGAUCGUUCAUGUCAUAGAUGUCAUCAUCUCUAUCUCCACACAGCUAAGAUAAGUGUUAUCGAUUGUAAUCUAACAAGCACAACUCAAUCAUAUAUAUGCAUUCUCUGUUAUAUUUUUUGCAUAAACUUGCAAAAAGACUCGUCUAUCGAGUAAAAAGACUCGUCUACCGAGCAAAAAGUCUCCUCUACCGAGCAA